rnacentral:rRNA from 1 species
CAGCAGCCGCGGGAAUACGAAGGGGGCUAGCGUCGCUCGGAAUGACUGGGCGUAAAGGGCGCGUAGGCGGUUUUGACAGUCAGAUGUGAAAUUCCUGGGCUUAACCUGGGGGCUGCAUUUGAGACGUCAAGACUAGAGUGUGAGAGAGGGUUGUGGAAUUCCCAGUGUAGAGGUGAAAUUCGUAGAUAUUGGGAAGAACACCGGUGGCGAAGGCGGCAACCUGGCUCAUUACUGACGCUGAGGCGCGAAAGCGUGGGGAGCAAACAGGAUUAGAUACCCCUGUAGUCCCUGUCUCUUAUAC